UUUCCUUUUGUUUAAUACAGAUUCGUUGAAUCACAAAACCUCUUCUCUGCUGUGGUUCAUUGAUUUUGCAAUUAUCAUGUCCGACCCUCCUCCGCUCAGCCGUCCUCCGUUAGUGUGGCCAAAAACAACACUUGGGAUCUCAUAUGAAUUUCUGUUUGCGGAUGAAGAUUGAUCCUUCUACGAGUUCUUCUCCUUCAAUCUAGCAUCAACUGUGAAUCUCCCUGUUUUCCCCCCUUUCUAAGAGUCUCACAGUGGUGUGUCAUUGUCAGGAUAAUCCGACUAUGGGAAUCACGAAACACGAGAACUGGUGAAACAAUAAGUCUCGACAUGAUCCUACUUGAUCGUGAGGAGUCGCAAAUGCAUGCUGUUAUUUGGAAACGGCAAGCUGAACGCUUCCGGGAUAAUUUGAGGGAGGGAACAGUCUACAAAAUAACAAAUUUCAAAGUGAUUGAGAGCAAAGAGAAAUACAAACCAGUUGAUGAGCAAUACAUCAUAAAUUUCUUACCCAACACUAGCUUGGUGGAACUUCCAGAUGACUCUUCAAUUUCCAUUGCCCAUCACAAGUUCUGCUUUUAGGGACGUGAGGAAUUAUUGAAACGCUUAGACAACCAUGCUCUGCUAUCAGAUGUUAUUGGUCCACUAACUGGUGUGGGAGCUAUUGAGCCGACUUUGGUUCAAGGCUCUAUGGUGGACAAGACGGAUGUAGAGCUACAGCUUGAAGGGUAGUGAUAUCUUAUACCUAUUUGUUUGAUUUAUAGUUGGACACAUAAUUAAUAGUCUUUUUAAAGUCCAUAAACCAGUGUAUUGAUAUUCAUGAUUUCGUUGUGCAGAAAUUUCCAAGUGAAAGUAACCUUAUGGGCAGAAAAAGCUCAUAGAUUUAUGAGUGUAGUCAAACAGUUGGAAGAGCAAUCACGUGUUGUUAUUGUAACUUCAACGAUGGU